GUUAAACAAAUAACUAAAAGGUUAAAAAACAAAACAAAAAAACGUCUACCCUUUCGCAUCAUAUUGUACUAAAAUUAAUUAGGAACUCAAAAUCAUGAACAGAAUUUCAGAUAGCUGCAAAUAUAAUUUCCCAGAACUCAAAAUCAAUUACGAACGGGUAGUGUUACCAUCUCAUUCUACUUUCCUUCUAAAAUGUAAAAAAUUACCAUUCCAAUUAGUGGCAACUUAAAGGAAACUUCCCAAAAGUAAAAAUUGCCUUCUAUUUUGCAAUCAUAUAAAGAUCACUCAACGAGUAUGCAUAAAAUCUACAUAAAAUUUCCAAAAUCAAAACUAAAACCAAAAGAUAAUUUCACGAAAUAGUCUAAUCCAAGAUGACAGAGGUCGCCAGAAAGGAAACGGGAAAUCGUCAAUGCGGUGUCAUGAAAUGUAGAUUUUCCUAGCACCUUCACCAUAUCCGGCUCCACCAUAUGCUUCCCACGAAGUAUCUUCAGUAUUGUAGUUUUCCCUACAAACUCAUAAACAUUAAACCAAACCCA
rnacentral:lncRNA from 1 species